rnacentral:rRNA from 1 species
GACGAACGCUGGCGGCGUGCUUAACACAUGCAAGUCGAACGGAAAGGCCCUGCUUUUGUGGGGUGCUCGAGUGGCGAACGGGUGAGUAACACGUGAGUAACCUGCCCUUGACUUUGGGAUAACUUCAGGAAACUGGGGCUAAUACCGGAUAGGAGCUCCUGCUGCAUGGUGGGGGUUGGAAAGUUUCGGCGGUUGGGGAUGGACUCGCGGCUUAUCAGCUUGUUGGUGGGGUAGUGGCUUACCAAGGCUUUGACGGGUAGCCGGCCUGAGAGGGUGACCGGCCACAUUGGGACUGAGAUACGGCCCAGACUCCUACGGGAGGCAGCAGUGGGGAAUAUUGCACAAUGGGCGGAAGCCUGAUGCAGCAACGCCGCGUGCGGGAUGAUGGCCUUCGGGUUGUAAACCGCUUUCGCCUGUAACGAAGCGUGAGUGACGGUAAUGGGUAAAGAAGCACCGGCUAACUACGUG